GGGGAUAUGGCGAAAUUGGUAGACGAAAAUCCGUCGACUUUAAAAAUCGUGAGGGUUCAAGUCCCUCUAUCCCCA
rnacentral:tRNA from 10 species